CGACUAUGAAACUAUUAUGAGCAGGACCCCAAGUGAUGAGCCAAUCGGUAGAAGGAUCGUUGACCAUCUGAUAUGUUUUCACAAUGAAAGAGCUGGGACCUCUAUGCAGGUGUCCUCAAAGCCCUCUCAGGUCUUUUUUGCCCUUUUUGGUUUUCUUAAUCUUAUUCUCUUAUGAUGAUGAUCCAGUGCAUAUGAAGCUGUGUGUUAUAAUCUUUAUCGAUCGUUUACUUAUGAAACUAUACUACUAUAUAGUGUUUUGUAGGAAUCAGUCAUUGGUUUUUAAAAUAUCUUAUAAAGUGAAAAAGUACUGAUUCAAGCAAGCAUCAUAGAAUAGAACAUAUCACAUAUUUUAUAAGAUUUGUAUAAUAGUGAUAUCUAGCUAGCUAACACAUAUGGUCUCAUAUGCCCUUGAAUUUUAUCCUGAAAUAUAUAUGAUCAAGACAAAUCUUGUUUUCUU